rnacentral:misc_RNA from 1 species
AAGUCGUAACAAGGUUUCCGUAGGUGAACCUGCGGAAGGAUCAUUACAAAGUAACGGCUAGUCAGGCCGAAACUGGCUACUGAAAGCGGCGGCGGGGGGCUCCCCCACCUGCCGCCGACAGGUUACCCUUUGUGAAAACCCCUUGUUGCUUCGGCAGCGCCUUCCCGUCCGCGGGGAGGGUCAGCCUGCCGGCAGCACCUUUGGAAACUCAUUUAUGAAAUCAGUACAAAAACGUCUGAGAGCGCAGUCGAAUGACACAUAAAACUUUCAACAACGGAUCUCUUGGUUCCC